AGUGAACGCUGGCGGUAGGCCUAACACAUGCAAGUCGAACGGCAGCACAGAGGAGCUUGCUCCUUGGGUGGCGAGUGGCGGACGGGUGAGGAAUACAUCGGAAUCUACCCUGUCGUGGGGGAUAACGUAGGGAAACUUACGCUAAUACCGCAUACGACCUACGGGUGAAAGCAGGGGACCUUCGGGCCUUGCGCGAUUGAAUGAGCCGAUGUCGGAUUAGCUAGUUGGCGGGGUAAAGGCCCACCAAGGCGACGAUCCGUAGCUGGUCUGAGAGGAUGAUCAGCCACACUGGAACUGAGACACGGUCCAGACUCCUACGGGAGGCAGCAGUGGGGAAUAUUGGACAAUGGGCGCAAGCCUGAUCCAGCCAUACCGCGUGGGUGAAGAAGGCCUUCGGGUUGUAAAGCCCUUUUGCUGGGAAAGAAAUCCAGCUGGCUAAUACCCGGUUGGGAUGACGGUACCCAAAGAAUAAGCACCGGCUAACUUCGUGCCAGCAGCCGCCGUAA
rnacentral:rRNA from 1 species